rnacentral:rRNA from 1 species
UACGGGGGGGGCAAGCGUUGUUCGGAAUUACUGGGCGUAAAGGGUUCGUAGGUGGCCAACUAAGUCAGACGUGAAAUCCCUCGGCUUAACCGGGGAACUGCGUCUGAUACUGGAUGGCUUGAGUUUGGGAGAGGGAUGCGGAAUUCCAGGUGUAGCGGUGAAAUGCGUAGAUAUCUGGAGGAACACCGGUGGCGAAGGCGGCAUCCUGGACACUAACUGACGCUGAGACGCGAAAGCGUGGGGAGCAAACAGG